rnacentral:rRNA from 1 species
ACCCGCUGAACUUAAGCAUAUCAAUAAGCGGAGGAAAAGAAACCAACCGGGAUUGCCUCAGUAACGGCGAGUGAAGCGGCAAAAGCUCAAAUUUGAAAUCUGGCCCCAGGUCCGAAUUGUAAUUUGAAGAAGCGACUCUGGUACCGGCCCUUGUCUAUGUUCCUUGGAACAGGACGUCACAGAGGGUGAGAAUCCCGUGCGAUGGGGUGUCCGGUGCUAUGUAGAGCGUUUUCGACGAGUCGAGUUGUUUGGGAAUGCAGCUCUAAGUGGGUGGUAAAUUCCAUCUAAAGCUAAAUAUUGGCGAGAGACCGAUAGCGAACAAGUACUGUGAAGGAAAGAUGAAAAGAACUUUGAAAAGAGAGUGAAAAAGUACGUGAAAUUGUUGAAAGGGAAGGGCUUGGGAUCAGACAUUGUAUUUCCAUGGCGCUCUCUCGGGGGUGUCCUCUGGGUUUACAGGGCCAGCAUGGGUUCUGCGGGCAAGAUGAGGGUUUCAGGAAUGUGGCUCUGCUUCGGCGGAGUGUUAUAGCCUGGGACACCGGUUGCCACGCGGGACCGAGGAUUGCGAAUCUAGGAUGCUGGCAUAAUGAUCUUAAGCCGCCCGUCUUGAAACACGGACCAAGGAGUCUAACGUCUAUGCGAGUGUUUGGGUGUAAAACCCGUACGCGGAAUGAAAGUGAACGUAGGUGAGAGCUUCGGCGCAUCAUCGACCGAUCCUGAUGUCUUCGGAUGGAUUUGAGUAAGAGCAUAGCUGUUGGGACCCGAAAGAUGGUGAACUAUGCCUGAAUAGGGUGAAGCCAGAGGAAACUCUGGUGGAGGCUCGUAGCGGUUCUGACGUGCAAAUCGAUCGUCGAAUUUGGGUAUAGGGGCGAA